rnacentral:rRNA from 1 species
GUAGGGAAUAUUGGGCAAUGGGGGGAACCCUGACCCAGCAACGCCGCGUGAAGGAAGAAGGUUUUCGGAUCGUAAACUUCUAUCCUUGGUGAAGAUAAUGACGGUAGCCAAGAAGGAAGCCCCGGCUAACUACGUGCCAGCAGCCGCGGUAAUACGUAGGGGGCAAGCGUUGUCCGGAAUGAUUGGGCGUAAAGGGCGCGUAGGCGGCCAUGUAAGUCCGAUGUGAAAGUCCUGCUUUUAAGGUGGGAAUUGCAUUGGAAACUGUGUGGCUUGAGUGCAGGAGAGGUAAGUGGAAUUCCCGGUGUAGCGGUGAAAUGCGUAGAGAUCGGGAGGAACACCAGUGGCGAAGGCGACUUACUGGACUGUAACUGACGCUGAGGCGCGAAAGUGUGGGGAGCAAACAGGAUUAGAAACCCUAGUAGUCC